UACGGGGGGGGUAAGCGUUGUUCGGAAUUACUGGGCGUAAAGGGCUCGUAGGCGGCCAACUAAGUCAGACGUGAAAUCCCUCAGCUUAACUGGGGAACUGCGUCUGAUACUGGAUGGCUUGAGUUCGGGAGAGGGAUGCGGAAUUCCGAGGUGUAGCGGUGAAAUGCGUAGAUAUCUGGAGGAACACCGGUGGCGAAGGCGGCAUCCUGGACCGACACUGACACUGAGGAGCGAAAGCCAGGGGAGCAAACGGG
rnacentral:rRNA from 1 species